CUACGGGGCGCAGCAGUGGGGAAUAUUGCACAAUGGAGGAAACUCUGAUGCAGCAACGCCGCGUGGAGGAUGACACUUUUCGGAGCGUAAACUCCUUUUAUAUAGGAAGAAGAUGACGGUACUAUAUGAAUAAGCGCCGGCUAACGCCGUGCCAGCAGCCGCGGUAAUACGGAGGGCGCAAGCGUUACUCGGAAUCACUGGGCGUAAAGAGCGUGUAGGCGGAUUAAAAAGUCAGAAGUGAAAUCCUAUAGCUUAACUAUAGAACUGCUUCUGAAACUCUUAAUCUAGAAUAUGGGAGAGGUAGAUGGAAUUUCUGGUGUAGGGGUAAAAUCCGUAGAGAUCAGAAGGAAUACCGAUUGCGAAGGCGAUCUACUAGAACAUUAUUGACGCUGAGACGCGAAAGCGUGGGGAGCAAACAGGAUUAGAUACCCCCGUAGUC
rnacentral:rRNA from 1 species